rnacentral:lncRNA from 1 species
AGCAAAUAGAACAUCAACGCCCACAAACUCUUUUGUGUUCUACUCGAGAUGUCAUCUAUGCAUGAACCUAGCUCAUGAUACCACUGUUGGGGAACGUUGCAUGGGAAACAAAAUUUCCUACGCACACGCAAGACCUAUCCAUGGUGAUGAUCAUCUACGAGAUGGGAGAGUGAAUCUACAAACCCUUGUAGAUCUCUAAGCAGAAGCGUAUAUAACGCAGUUAAUGUAGUGGAACAUCUUCGUGAUCUGAAUCACAGCCCGUCCUGCGAUCUCAUCGCGAACCGUCCCGCGAUCACAUCACGAUCCAUCCCGAUCUAGUGCCGAACGGACGGCACCUCCGUGUUUAGCACACGUACGGCUCGAUGACGUCUUCUCCUUGAUCUAGCAAGACAGGAAGGAGAAGUAGAUGGGGUCUCAACCAGCACGGCUACAUGGUGGAUAUGAUGGUGGAGCAGUGCGAGCAGGGCUUUGCCAAGCGCUUCCGGAACCGAUCUGGGGAGAAAACAGAGUUAUGGGAGAGGUAGGGCUGCCUCCGGGGCUUGGGAAUU